rnacentral:misc_RNA from 1 species
GUAGGUGAACCUGCGGAAGGAUCAUUAUCGAGUUUAGGGUCCUCUGGGCCCCAUCUCCAACCCUUGCCUACCAUGUUGCCCCGGCGUCCGCGCCGGGGCAACUUUAAAAAAUUUCUUUUUAAAUCCUUCAACCAUGACGUCCUACGGGAGAAUAUCAAUCAAUUAAAACUUUCAACAACGGAUCUCUUGGUUCUGGCAUCGAUGAAGAACGCAGCAUCUGACUGACUCGACAGCUGACAAUCUCGUAUGC